UUGGAGGGAAGGAUGUAGGGGUCUAUUUGGAAACAGCCUCUCUAUCCCAGGGUAGGGGUAAGGUCUGCAUACACACUACCCUCCCCAGACCCUACUAAAUGGGAUUAUACUGAGUUGUUGUUGUUGUUAAUUUUACAGCGAAGGCAAAAAGAAAUAUUUCUAGAGAACAAGAAAAAAUUCAAUUGUAGCUAAGUGUUUGAGUGAUAAGCCCAAGGAUGGGUGUAUAGUCAAUAGUUUUACAGCAGGAGUUGGUCAACAAAGAAGCAGCAGGGUGCGCAAAUCGCAGUUUCUGAGAAGUGAGUACAGGAUGCUACAAAAGUAACUUGUUAUAAGCACGUUGAGAAAAUUGGGAAAC
rnacentral:lncRNA from 1 species